rnacentral:rRNA from 1 species
GGGUUGUGAGGUUAAGCGACUAAGCGUACACGGUGGAUGCCCUGGCAGUCAGAGGCGAUGAAGGACGUGCUAAUCUGCGAUAAGCGUCGGUAAGGUGAUAUGAACCGUUAUAACCGGCGAUUUCCGAAUGGGGAAACCCAGUGUGAUUCGUCACACUAUCAUUAACUGAAUCCAUAGGUUAAUGAGGCGAACCGGGGGAACUGAAACAUCUAAGUACCCCGAGGAAAAGAAAUCAACCGAGAUUCCCCCAGUAGCGGCGAGCGAACGGGGAGCAGCCCAGAGCCUGAAUCAGUGUGUGUGUUAGUGGAAGCGUCUGGAAAGGCGCGCGAUACAGGGUGACAGCCCCGUACACAAAAAUGCACAUGCUGUGAGCUCGAUGAGUAGGGCGGGACACGUGGUAUCCUGUCUGAAUAUGGGGGGACCAUCCUCCAAGGCUAAAUACUCCUGACUGACCGAUAGUGAACCAGUACCGUGAGGGAAAGGCGAAAAGAACCCCGGCGAGGGGAGUGAAAAAGAACCUGAAACCGUGUACGUACAAGCAGUGGGAGCACGCUUAGGCGUGUGACUGCGUACCUUUUGUAUAAUGGGUCAGCGACUUAUAUUCUGUAGCAAGGUUAACCGAAUAGGGGAGCCGAAGGGAAACCGAGUCUUAACUGGGCGUUAAGUUGCAGGGUAUAGACCCGAAACCCGGUGAUCUAGCCAUGGGCAGGUUGAAGGUUGGGUAACACUAACUGGAGGACCGAACCGACUAAUGUUGAAAAAUUAGCGGAUGACUUGUGGCUGGGGGUGAAAGGCCAAUCAAACCGGGAGAUAGCUGGUUCUCCCCGAAAGCUAUUUAGGUAGCGCCUCGUGAAUUCAUCUCCGGGGGUAGAGCACUGUUUCGGCAAGGGGGUCAUCCCGACUUACCAACCCGAUGCAAACUGCGAAUACCGGAGAAUGUUAUCACGGGAGACACACGGCGGGUGCUAACGUCCGUCGUGAAGAGGGAAACAACCCAGACCGCCAGCUAAGGUCCCAAAGUCAUGGUUAAGUGGGAAACGAUGUGGGAAGGCCCAGACAGCCAGGAUGUUGGCUUAGAAGCAGCCAUCAUUUAAAGAAAGCGUAAUAGCUCACUGGUCGAGUCGGCCUGCGCGGAAGAUGUAACGGGGCUAAACCAUGCACCGAAGCUGCGGCAGCGACGCUUAUGCGUUGUUGGGUAGGGGAGCGUUCUGUAAGCCUGCGAAGGUGUGCUGUGAGGCAUGCUGGAGGUAUCAGAAGUGCGAAUGCUGACAUAAGUAACGAUAAAGCGGGUGAAAAGCCCGCUCGCCGGAAGACCAAGGGUUCCUGUCCAACGUUAAUCGGGGCAGGGUGAGUCGACCCCUAAGGCGAGGCCGAAAGGCGUAGUCGAUGGGAAACAGGUUAAUAUUCCUGUACUUGGUGUUACUGCGAAGGGGGGACGGAGAAGGCUAUGUUGGCCGGGCGACGGUUGUCCCGGUUUAAGCGUGUAGGCUGGUUUUCCAGGCAAAUCCGGAAAAUCAAGGCUGAGGCGUGAUGACGAGGCACUACGGUGCUGAAGCAACAAAUGCCCUGCUUCCAGGAAAAGCCUCUAAGCAUCAGGUAACAUCAAAUCGUACCCCAAACCGACACAGGUGGUCAGGUAGAGAAUACCAAGGCGCUUGAGAGAACUCGGGUGAAGGAACUAGGCAAAAUGGUGCCGUAACUUCGGGAGAAGGCACGCUGAUAUGUAGGUGAAGUCCCUCGCGGAUGGAGCUGAAAUCAGUCGAAGAUACCAGCUGGCUGCAACUGUUUAUUAAAAACACAGCACUGUGCAAACACGAAAGUGGACGUAUACGGUGUGACGCCUGCCCGGUGCCGGAAGGUUAAUUGAUGGGGUCAGCGCAAGCGAAGCUCUUGAUCGAAGCCCCGGUAAACGGCGGCCGUAACUAUAACGGUCCUAAGGUAGCGAAAUUCCUUGUCGGGUAAGUUCCGACCUGCACGAAUGGCGUAAUGAUGGCCAGGCUGUCUCCACCCGAGACUCAGUGAAAUUGAACUCGCUGUGAAGAUGCAGUGUACCCGCGGCAAGACGGAAAGACCCCGUGAACCUUUACUAUAGCUUGACACUGAACAUUGAGCCUUGAUGUGUAGGAUAGGUGGGAGGCUUUGAAGUGUGGACGCCAGUCUGCAUGGAGCCGACCUUGAAAUACCACCCUUUAAUGUUUGAUGUUCUAACGUGGACCCGUAAUCCGGGUUGCGGACAGUGUCUGGUGGGUAGUUUGACUGGGGCGGUCUCCUCCUAAAGAGUAACGGAGGAGCACGAAGGUUGGCUAAUCCUGGUCGGACAUCAGGAGGUUAGUGCAAUGGCAUAAGCCAGCUUGACUGCGAGCGUGACGGCGCGAGCAGGUGCGAAAGCAGGUCAUAGUGAUCCGGUGGUUCUGAAUGGAAGGGCCAUCGCUCAACGGAUAAAAGGUACUCCGGGGAUAACAGGCUGAUACCGCCCAAGAGUUCAUAUCGACGGCGGUGUUUGGCACCUCGAUGUCGGCUCAUCACAUCCUGGGGCUGAAGUAGGUCCCAAGGGUAUGGCUGUUCGCCAUUUAAAGUGGUACGCGAGCUGGGUUUAGAACGUCGUGAGACAGUUCGGUCCCUAUCUGCCGUGGGCGCUGGAGAACUGAGGGGGGCUGCUCCUAGUACGAGAGGACCGGAGUGGACGCAUCACUGGUGUUCGGGUUGUCAUGCCAAUGGCACUGCCCGGUAGCUAAAUGCGGAAGAGAUAAGUGCUGAAAGCAUCUAAGCACGAAACUUGCCCCGAGAUGAGUUCUCCCUGACCCUUUAAGGGUCCUGAAGGAACGUUGAAGACGACGACGUUGAUAGGCCGGGUGUGUAAGCGCAGCGAUGCGUUGAGCUAACCGGUACUAAUGAACCGUGAGGCUUAACCUUACAACGCCGAAGGUGUUU